rnacentral:rRNA from 1 species
UGAGGAAUAUUGGUCAAUGGACGAGAGUCUGAACCAGCCAAGUAGCGUGAAGGAUGACUGCCCUAUGGGUUGUAAACUUCUUUUAUACGGGAAUAAAGUUAGCCACGUGUGGCUUUUUGUAUGUACCGUAUGAAUAAGGAUCGGCUAACUCCGUGCCAGCAGCCGCGGUAAUACGGAGGAUCCGAGCGUUAUCCGGAUUUAUUGGGUUUAAAGGGAGCGUAGGCGGGUUGUUAAGUCAGUUGUGAAAGUUUGCGGCUCAACCGUAAAAUUGCAGUUGAUACUGGCGACCUUGAGUGCAACAGAGGUAGGCGGAAUUCGUGGUGUAGCGGUGAAAUGCUUAGAUAUCACGAAGAACUCCGAUUGCGAAGGCAGCUUACUGGAUUGUAACUGACGCUGAUGCUCGAAAGUGUGGGUAUCAAACAGGAUUAGAUACCCUGGUAGUCCACACAGUAAACGAUGAAUACUCGCUGUUGGCGAUAUACGGUCAGCGGCCAAGCGAAAGCAUUAAGUAUUCCACCUGGGGAGUACGCCGGCAACGGUGAAACUCAAAGGAAUUGACGGGGGCCCGCACAAGCGGAGGAACAUGUGGUUUAAUUCGAUGAUACGCGAGGAACCUUACCCGGGCUUAAAUUGCAACUGACUGAACCGGAAACGGUUCCUUCUUCGGACAGUUGUGAAGGUGCUGCAUAGUUGUCGUCAGCUCGUGCCGUGAGGUGUCGGCUUAAGUGCCAUAACGAGCGCAACCCUUAUCGAUAGUUACUAGCAGGUCAUGCUGAGGACUCUAUUGAGACUGCCGUCGUAAGAUGUGAGGAAGGUGGGGAUGACGUCAAAUCAGCACGGCCCUUACGUCCGGGGCUACACACGUGUUACAAUGGGGGGUACAGAAGGCAGCUACACGGCGACGUGGUGCUAAUCCCGAAAGCCUCUCUCAGUUCGGAUUGGAGUCUGCAACCCGACUCCAUGAAGCUGGAUUCGCUAGUAAUCGCGCAUCAGCCACGGCGCGGUGAAUACGUUCCC